CAACACAUUUCCACUAUGACUUUAGCUACAUGUUUAAUGUUUCUGAUGCUUCCAUGGAUUUCUGGUGUUUGCAGUCAGACUCUGACUGAGUCUGAAGCGGUGGUAAAGCGCCCUGGACAGUCCCACAAACUGACCUGUACAUAUGCAGGAAUAUCAGAUAGUGAUGCUGCUAUCAGCUGGAUCAGACAAGCUGAAGGAAAAGGACUGGAGUGGAUUGCCUACAUUUCUGCUCCAAGUGGAACUAAUAAAUAUUAUUCCACGUCAGUCCAGAAUCGCUUCACCAUCUCCAGAGACAACAACGUGGACCAGGUGUAUCUGCAGAUGAACAGCCUGACGUCUGAAGACUCUGCUGUUUAUUAUUGUGCUCGACAGACACAGUGAUACAGGAAGCCACACAGCUGUACAAAAACCUCUGCAGUUGUCAGUGGCAUUAACCAAUAGAGAGUGCAAGUCAUUUUCCACCUUAAAUCAGGAUAUCUUAUAUACACAAGAUGUGAAUACUUCCCCACGCAAUGCUUUUGUCACA